ensembl:snRNA Gm24784 predicted gene, 24784
ACCUAACAUAGCUCUUUAAGAAUUUUUCUGGCAGGUUUUCUGAGUUUGAUGAGAAAACUCAA